rnacentral:lncRNA from 1 species
AGAAGCAAAGCGCCAACGACGACAGUAGCGGUGGCCUCAGCUCCACCAGUAACUGCCGCUGGCAGGAGCACCACACGCUCUAGGAGUUUCCCGGGUAUCAAGUAUGGGUCCAGCCCGUCCCAGUUAUCCUCUUCCCCUAUGGCUUCAUUCCCGUUGUCAGUACCCCGACCUCAGCUUGCAACCUUGAUCUUGGGCUUGAUUAUAAAUGACGAAAGACCGCGGCAGCCUUCAAAGUGCGGGAGCGAGCCCCGUACUGGUCAGCGCGGCGGAGGGAUCUUUCCAGGAGGCCCCAAGCCCCCAAGCCUGUGGAGAGACUUGGUAACAGCUGGCAAGGCCUGCUCCAGCCACCCUCGCUGGCUCCUUGCCCCUGCAUUCAGCGCCUGAGGGCGUUAUUCGCCCUCUCCCUGCGUCCCACGCAAGCGGCUCAAGGAACUCACUCGAUCCGGAUUCCGCCUCGUAUGCUCUCCAAGCCUUCGCCACCUCCGCAGGCGCUCUAGAAAGGCGUGAUGGCCCCAGCUCAGUGCCCGCCAGCCCGAAGAGGACAAGCAGGGCUGGAAGGGACUUGGUUUUGGAAAAAGCCCCACCCGCCCCCACCAACUGGAAGGAAAAGGAAUUAGUAUCCACCGCAUCUGUUUAACUGCUAAUAGAUCCCAGAUUACGGGCAGGUAGUAGGUUGGUGUCUUUAGAUACAACAGCCUGAUAAUAACGCUGGUGACAUUAACAACAGCUUGUGGAGGGGAGAGGGUUGUUACUGGUGAAAGUUAAGAGAUUCAAUCUAGGGAAGUAGGAGACUGAACUCUGACAAGGUUAGGGGCACUGAGAACCCCAAUUUAGCAUCGAUGCAUCUACCAGGCAAGAAAAUUUGCGUUUUGACCCAGAACUCAGUCAUGAUGCUCCGUAGAGGAGGUGGAUUCGACCAGCAGACAGAUGUCCCCAAAGUCGAGAGAGAGCUAAGCUGCCUAUUUUCUCUCCAGGUGAAAGACAAAGCCUAGAGCACCCCACUUAAGAUGACCACCCCCAGCUCUUUCAAAAAAAAAAAAUCCCCCGAAGAGACAGCGUGGUGCCAGCGUAGCAGCAGCUCGGCCGGUUACUGGAAACUUCACCUGGCAACGCAGCCCCUUUUACCUGACGGCUGCGUCUUCUCCUUGCAAUGGGCUCAUCCGAAUCCGACAGGGUCAGGGAGGUGGAAAGGGAAGACGCUGGCGCGGCAGCAGCGGGGAUCCCGGGGCAUGGUAUUGUUUUAGGGGUCGCCGCCGAGGUCCCUCCUGCCCAUCGUUGAGAACUGCCACCCUGAUCCCAGGGCUCGGUGGACACGGCGGCGGGAGCGGAGAUGCCGCCUCGCCGCUGCUGGGCACCAGGGACGGAGGACCAGAGGCGCACCUCGGAAAGGAGUAGCUCAGCGCCUUGGCGCGGAGAUUUGCGGGCACUGAUGAUAUCUCGAGCGCUCGUUCCUCCGCGGUGACAAUGGAUAAUGCCAAACGCGCAAGUGACGGCGACAGGUUUCGAACGUACAACUAACUACAAGGUACCCAGCCUGAGACAGUAUGCUGCUUUUCCCCUCCUCCUCCUCUCCCUCCUACCAGGGAGGGAACUAACUUAACCCUGUGUGCGCCUGACACUCCCUAGAGAAGCUGGGAUCGACUAGGAAACCGCAGGCAGCGGCUCCCGGGGGCGAGAGCUUUGUUCACGUGCGUUUCCAGUGGGUGUGUUGCUGUCUAGGGGCACUCGCGUGGCAAGACGCCCGUGGCUGGCUUCCAGCGCCCAAGAUUCAAGGAAGGGAAGGAGCCCUAGCGUUUCAUCCGGACCAGACCCAGCCCUCGGAGUCUAUUUUUUGCCUCCAGUUACCGGAUUUAUUGAAGUUGCCAGCGAAGUUGGUUUUAUUCCUUUACUUCUCUGCUCUCCGCCCCCGUCCACAUCCCCCAACCCUGUAUUAUUUCCUGUCCUAGCUGCGCUUUAAAGAUUCGGAACUUUUCACUCGUUCUAGCUACAGAUUUUAACUGUGUUCCGUGUGCGAGACGAAUUGUGGAGGGCACCCACCCACCCAUGCCAAGUGUAAAUGAAACCGCAAGAAAAGCUGCCUCCCACUCACCCAUCCAGUGUCCGAGUAAGCCUAAUGACACACAUUCACAUAACUAAGAAGACACGGGAAGAUAGGGGUGCGGAGGACGGAGUUUGAUGUGUGAAUGGGAAAUGGAGAGAGGGGACAGCGCGCGCGAGAGAAACAGCGCGAGCCUGAGCCUUAGAAUGGAAUAAACGGGAAACACACACAAGAAUGACGAUGCAAAAAAUGUAUCUAAGUCCCAACAUUGACAGCAGAGGGUCAGCUUUAAGCGCCUACAUUUUGAUCCGCGAAAUUUCCCAGCUUUUUUGGAGGCGGUUACAUAGAGAACACAGGAGCCUCUGCCUUGGCCGCCCAGAUGCUUUGCAUUUUGUAAACAGCUUUGACUAAGUGCUCUGGACUUCCAAGAAGUUAACUGGAGUGGAAGGCGAGUCAUAUUGUGGAUGCGGAAUGGAAGCUUAGACAAGAAAAAACUGUCAGCAGAGCGCCUCUGCUCUCACCGUCACACCCAAAUGAGCCAGGACGUCGCUCAGAGCGCAAACUGAGAUCCACACAGGGACAUCUUCAACCGAAUCUUUCUUCUGUCUCCAUUCCGGACUAAGGAAAGAAAGAAAGAAAUACGGAGCCUUUAUAGAGUAUUCAGAGGCUACACACAUGGAUCUUGCUGAAACGGAGUUAUUUAAAAACAGAGAAAGUGUGUUUUCCCAUGAGAUAGAUGUUAUAGUUUCUCUCUGAAACAUACCCAAGUCUAUGGGUGUCAAUAAUAGCCAUUUCAAAUGCCUCUCUGAGCCUUGCCAGCCCCAGAAGAGGCUGUGGGAAUGCUGCUUCCAGCUUCCCCUGUGCAGAACUCCGUUGUAAAUCCUUCUGAGUUUCCAAGGUGGCAGCAGAGCAUAGGGAUAGCUCCUCAAGCUCCAGCAUCAACAAGGAAGAUCACAUUUUAGGACAAAUACUCAUCUACCUGCAUUUAAACAUCCAUUUUCGUAUGUUACAAGAUGAUUAUGCGUGAACAAAAACAGAAGGUACAUACUGGCAGGAAACAAAAGCACGUUAAACCAUGGAGAUUUCCUCUUACAUAAACCUGCCAUUUGUUAAGCAGUUGCUGUCUGUUCCACAGGGAAGCUGGCAAAAACUUGAUACAAACAUUCUCCAACUGCACUGGGAGGAAUAAGUGAAGGUAACACCUUUUUAAGAAGGGCAUACAAAGAGAUAAAAGAUCUACCUAGGGACUUACUCAAACCUAGAUGCUACCAUUGUACAAAAUGUUACCAAGUCUACCUAUAUCUAACUAUAGUUCUGAUAAAGAGGGAAGUGAUGUUUUAAUUUGGGAAAACACACUUAAUCAAACAUGUAAAUGAGAUUCUGAAUUAAAAUUCAUAUGUAUUUUCUCUCACUAUCUAUCAACGUGCUAGAAAAAUAAAAUUGCCUUCUUUGGAAGGACAGGGGCAAUUUUCAAGAGUGCUUAUUCAAAGAAAAAAAUGAAUAUUUGCACUCAAACUUUAUGCAGUUAGAAGAAGGUCUGAGCUUGGUCUUGGAAGAUCUUACUUCAUGUCUCCAUCUUACCAGGGAAAUCACGUAACUGCUCUGAGCCUCAGCAUCCCUUCUAUCAAAUAAAAAAAGUAUAAUAAAGAUCAUCUUUCAGGGUAGGUAUGAAAAGAUCAAGUAAAGUGAGGUGUUUCAAAACUCAAAAUAAAAAUAAGCUGUCAUUAUUUAUAUAAUUAAUGUGUUUAUAUAAUAUAUAAAUAUAUAUAAUGUAUAUAUGUAUAUAAUUUAUAUAAUUAAAUAAUAUAAAUUAUAUAAACAUAAUUUAUAUAAUUAAUGUGAACACAAUUUAGUGUGAGAUAUAUUUUAGUCCAUCUAACCUUCAGCCACUUCAUGGAGUUUUAAUUGCAUUGGUACUUCCUGCUUUGCUGGUACCCUUGUUCCAUAUAACCUCUGAGAGCUUCAAAGGUGUAGAGCUGCUUAAUUCCUGCACAGUUAACUCUGCAGUGCUUUCAGGUGUCACCAUUUGCUACCCUAGAAAUAAACUUGACCUACCCUAGAAAUAAACUUCCUCAAACCAG